rnacentral:rRNA from 1 species
CAAUAGCGUAUAUUAAAGUUGUUGCGGUUAAAAAGCUCGUAGUUGGAUUUCUGCUGAGGACGACCGGUCCGCCCUCCGGGUGAGCAUCUGGUUCGGCCUUGGCAUCUUCUUGGUGAACGUAUCUGCACUUGACUGUGUGGUGCGGUACCCAGGACUUUUACUUGAAAAAAUUAGAGUGUUCAAAGCAGGCAGUUCGCCUGAAUAAUGUUGCAUGGAAUAAUGGAAUAGGACCUCGGUUCUAUUUUGUUGGUUUUCGGAAGUCGAGGUAAUGAUUAAGAGGGACAGACGGGGGCAUUCGUAUUACGGUGUUAGAGGUGAAAUUCUUGGAUCGCCGUAAGACGAACUACUGCGAAAGCAUUUGCCAAGAAUGUUUUCAUUAAUCAAGAACGAAAGUCAGAGGUUCGAAGACGAUUAGAU